GACGAACGCUGGCGGCGUGCUUAACACAUGCAAGUCGAGCGGUAAGGCCCUUUCGGGGGUACGACGAGCGGCGAACGGGUGAGUAACACGUGGGUGACCUGCCCUUACGCUCUGGGAUAAGCCUGGGAAACUGGGUCUAAUACCGGAUAUGACUCCAUGACGCAUGUUGUGGGGUGGAAAGCCUUGUGCGGCUAGGGAUGGGCCUGCGGCCUAUCAGCUUGUUGGUGGGGUGAGGCCUACCAAGGCGACGACGGGUAGCCGGCCUGAGAGGGCGACCGGCCACACUGGGACUGAGACACGGCCCAGACUCCUACGGGAGGCAGCAGUGGGGAAUCUUGCGCAAUGGGCGAAAGCCUGACGCAGCGACGCCGCGUGGGGA
rnacentral:rRNA from 1 species